rnacentral:rRNA from 1 species
CCUACGGGGGGCUGCAGUGGGGAAUUUUGCGCAAUGGACGAAAGUCUGACGCAGCAACGCCGCGUGGGUGAUGAAGGUCUUCGGAUCGUAAAACCCUGUCGUCAGGGACGAAGGUUGCAUGUCUAAUAGAUGUGCAGCUUGACGGUACCUGGAGAGGAAGCCCCGGCUAACUCUGUGCCAGCAGCCGCGGUAAUACAGAGGGGGCAAGCGUUAUUCGGAGGGCGUGGGCGUGAAGGGCGAGGUGAGGGGGGUAAUCCCCGAGCUUAACUUGGGAACUGCAUCUCAGACUGGGGCGCUAGAGUGCUGGAGAGGGUGGUGGAAUUCCACGUGUAGCGGUGAAAUGCGUAGAGAUGUGGAGGAACACCAGUGGCGAAGGCGGCCACCUGGACAGUAACUGACGCUGAGGCGCGAAAGUGUGGGGAGCAAACAGGAUUAGAUACCCUAGUAGUC